AGUUUAAAUUUAUGUAUUUGGGUUUAUUUAUUUUUUAUUAAUCAAUUGUGAGAGGGGCUCAAUUGAUUAAAAUAUUAAAUAUAUAAAUUGUACCUUUUGUAUCAGGGUUUAUUAAAAUAAAAGAUUAUUCUAGUUUCUCGAAAGAAAAAGAUUUAAUUUAGUAAAUUAUUUAAUGUUUCAUAAUUAAUUUAUAUACUAUUUUAUAUUUGAUAAGAAUUUAGGUUUUUUAUAUCUAGUUGUUUUAUUUUUAAUUUAAUUAAGUUAAUUUAAGUAUGGGGGUAUUUAAAUUAAUAAAAUUUAUAGGGAUAAGCUUAUAAAAUUUAUAAGAACUUGGAUUAAUGCUUCUAUCUUGUGUCUUUAGAAAUAAGAGUCAUUAUAAUUUGUAAAAAUAAACUAGGGGGUUUAUAAUUAUUCAGAAAUAGUUUUAAGUAGGGGAUAAAACUAUUUAAUUGAAUAAUUACAUUGAAUUAAUAAUGAUUAAAUUAGUAUAAUAUAAAAUAUUUUUUAAGAAUUCGGCAAGUAUAAUUUUCAACUGUUUACCAAAAACAUUUCUGGGGGGAAAAUAUUUUUGGUAUAACCUGCUCCAUGCUAAGGUUAAUAGCUGCAGUAUUUUGACUGUACAAAGGUAGCAUAAUAAUUAGUCUUUUAAUUGGAGGCUGGAAUGAAUGGUUGAAUGUAAUAUUAACUUUUUUAUUAAUAUGAAUAUUGAAUUUAAUUUUUAAGUUAAAAAGCUUAAAUAAUAAAAAGGGACGAGAAGACCCUAUAGAAUUUUAUAAUUAAUUUGAAAAUACAUUUUUUGGUUGGGGUGACUAGAAAUUAACUUUUCUUUUUAAUUCAUUUUUAAAUGAUAAAAUGAUCCUAAGUUAGUAGAGAUGAAGAUAAAAUUACCUUAGGGAUAACAGCAUAAUUUUUUUUUUAAGAACAUAUUUAUAAAAAAGUUUAUGACCUCGAUGUUGAAUUAAAUAUUAUAUAAAUGUAGGAGUUUGUAUAUUAAGUCUGUUCGACUUAUAUAUUUACAUGAUUUGAGUUCAAACCGGUGUGAGCCAGGUUGGUUUCUAUCUUUUUUUAAAUUUCAUGGUUUAGUACGAAAGGAUUGAUUAUUAAAAUUUUUAUUUUACACACUGAGGAUCAUUAAUUCUGU
rnacentral:rRNA from 1 species